rnacentral:rRNA from 1 species
GACGAACGCUGGCGGCGUGCUUAACACAUGCAAGUCGAACGGAAAGGCCCUGCUUUUGUGUGGUGCUCGAGUGGCGAACGGGUGAGUAACACGUGAGUAACCUGCCCUUGACUUUGGGAUACCUCCCGGAAAUGGGGCUAAUACCCGACCGGAUCCUCCUCCUGCUUGGUGGGGGUGGAAAUUUUCGGGGGGUGGGGGUUGGUUCGCGGCUUUCUAGCUUGUUUGUGGGGGAGUGGCUUACCCAGGGUUUGGCGGGUAGCCGGCCGGUGAGGGUGGACGGCCACAUUGGGACUGCGAGACGCCCCAGUCGCGAACGGGAGGCAGCAGGGGGGAAUAUGGCACAAUGGGAGGAAGCGUGAGAAAGCAACGCCGCGUGCGGGAUGACGGCUUGCGGGUUGUAAACCGCUUUCGCCUGUGACGAAGCGUGAGUGACGGUAAUGGAUAAAGAAGCACCGGCUAACUACGUG